CCUCAUCCUCGCCUUCCUCUCCCUAAACACCGACCAAGCCUUCCCCUAAACCUGACCCCGUGGUGCUAUUCCAUCUUGGUUUUGCGAAUGCUACUCAUCUUGAAAAGAAGGGGGAACUGAUUAUUGGUUCAAAAUAAUUGGGGGACAGAGAUGUGAGAGUUUGAGGAGUUCAACUGGGGAAUUUUAUACAGAGAGAUGGAGGGGUUCAGUUGGGGAUUUGUAUCAUAUCAUGUUGCUGUGUAUGCCAUACUUUAUUCUUUGCUCUGCUUGGGGAAUUUUGUAUAGGGUGAUCUGAUUUGUAUGAGUUAUAUGUGAUGUUCUGUCAUCCUUUUGGUGCUCCUACUGAAGAGAUAUAUUUUUAGCUAUUGUUCUUGAUUAUUGCUACUGGUGCUGAUUGCGUUUGUUGUUUCUAUCAUAUGCAGACUGCCGUGAUUGUAUGAGAGAUUAAUACGAUUGUCCCAUGUGUGCUAGCUUUAAACGGACGGGUAAUGCUUGGUGUAUUCUUGUGUGUCAAUCGGAACAAACAUGGAGGGAGGAUAGGCUCCAAUUCAUUCUGGCUCCAUUAACUGAGUCGACCGCUCUGAAAAGGUGAUGCUCUGUAGUAAGUUUAUUUAUGCUUGUGUGUGUUUUUAUUGAUGUGUUUGCACUGUCUGUUUAUUGCAUAUUCAGUUGUUCGAAAAAGGGGUGCCAUUUGUGCCAGGUUAAUCAACCAGCGAAAGUAACACUUGAUCACAGGUCAAUUAUACAAGGAGGACACGGAACAAAUCAGAAAGAAAGUAGCAAGUUGUUAAAUCUGAUUUGCUGCUUUCAAUUUUUGGAGCACUGUAGCUUGUGAAAUCAUCAUAUGUGUUCUAUCUUGUGCGCCUCUUGUGGUCUUACCAAUGGAGUUGGCUUUAGCUCUUGAAAAGAUGGUGAAUGAGAAGCUGCCCAACCUGCCCACUAUAAGUUUCUCCUUCAUGCCUGUUUACAAGAAAAUUACUUUAAAGGUAGCAACAAGGUGAAAAGAUCCUCAGCUGGGCAUCUUUAUUGAGAAUCAAUUUCUUUAGGAGCAGGGUUACUCAUGCAGUUUCAGAAGGAGAUUGUGGAUCAUGAGUUAACAUACCAGAUGGAAGAGCGAUGGGCCAACAUAUGGAAGUGCAGAUCGAAAAACCUGGGUUUGCAGGAUGCAACAAUUGGUGUUGCGAGCAAAGCCAAAACCAUCACUCACAAGAAAUAUGAGAUCCUCAAGCAAGACUUGCAUGAUGCACAGAUUGUAAUUGCUUGGCAUCAACUAUUCGCAACUACUAACUCACCAUCAAAAUCAAAACUUGACAAGGUUUUGAACUAACUGAAGGCUGCUUGGAUGCUGAGAAACUAAAAGAGUUUAAACUUGUGCAGAAGAGAUAAAUCAGUCUUAAUGUGGCCAAGUUCAAAUUUGCUCUCCCGACACCUACUUCUGUGUUGGGCCUUCCAAUUGGCCAACAUAUAAGCUGCAGGUUUCAACACUUACUCGUCAUGUCUUGAUCUACAUUUCAGUUGAGUGGUCAUUGUUUUUGGUUCAAGAAGCGAGUGAAAUAUUCUUAUAAUUCUAUCGAUGUAUGUAUUGUGUAAACUGGCUGCACCGUUGCAGAGUCAAGGAUGCUACUCGGCCUUUUAGAAAAAACUGACGUGUAGAGUCUCCUUGGUUUAGGCUCUGAUGAUAGGUUUGGAUUUGCUUCUUAUUCUGAUGUAUAGAUAUCGACUGGAAAAAUAAAGAUCACAUGGUAAUGUGCAAAUCAGAGGUUUGCGCCACUGAGGAGCGUGUCCACGUCACGAGUGUCGCCAUUCAUGGGAAGCACCAAGAUCUAACACUCUGAAUGUUGUUAGCUCGCUCCUUCACAAAUGAGUCUCUUAAGCUAUCGCUUAUCUCGCUUUGUUAGACAAACUCUUUAUGCGACAGGGAAGGCUUCUGGAAUGAUACAAUUGUUGUUCUAUUUCUGUCAACCCACUCUGCUUAAUCAUAUUGAUUAUUA